AUUGAACGCUGGCGGCAGGCUUAACACAUGCAAGUCGAGCGGGGGAAGGUAGCUUGCUACCGGACCUAGCGGCGGACGGGUGAGUAAUGCUUAGGAAUCUGCCUAUUAGUGGGGGACAACAUCUCGAAAGGGAUGAUAAUACCGCAUACGUCCUACGGUAGAAAGCAGGGGAUCUUAGGACCUUGCGAUAAUAGAUGAGCCUAAGUUGGAUUAGCUAGUUGGUGGGGUAAAGGCCUACCAAGGCAACGAUCUGUGGCGGGUCUGAGAGGAUGAUCCGCCACACUGGGACUGAGACACGGCCCAGACUCCUACGGGAGGCUGCAGUGGGGAAUAUUGGACAAUGGGGGGAACCCUGAUCCAGCCAUGCCGCGUGUGUGAAGAAGGCCUUAUGGUUGUAAAGCACUUUAAGCGAGGAGGAGGCUACUUUAGUUAAUACCUGGAGAUAGUGGACGUUACUCGCAGAAUAAGCACCGGCUAACUCUGUGCCAGCCGCCGCCGUAA
rnacentral:rRNA from 1 species